UUACGUCGCCAUCUUGAUUUCUUUGUCUUCCGCUUGGCAACAGCAAGCAAAUCGCGCGAUUUGCGUUGAAAGAGUGUUUGAACCAUUUCAAAAAGUUCUUGGGCCCCCAUGAAGAACACAAAAACCAUUCAAAACCCCCCACUUAUUAGUUCGUCUAGUUAUAGUUCUUCUCUCAGAGUAAAUGCUGCUUCAAGAUCGUGAUGAAGACAAAUGCAUUGGUUGUGCAUGUAGUGUGUAACUUUUCACAUAGGGGAGACCGGGGUUAGUUGGAACAUGGGGAAAGGUACUGACAGAGAGUUACUCCUACUCCUGGGAGGCUGUGUACUUCAACAUGGAUACAUGUGGUGUCUGUGAUGGAAAUCUCCAACUUAUUGGGACACAAGCUUUAUCAUUCUGUGCGUAUCUCUCAAAAACCAAUGUUAAGGUUGGCCAAGUACUUCAGCAAAUAGGAUGGGCUGUUGGAGAUGAAGCAACGUGGAAUACAAGGCGUUGCUGUAAGCCAUGUUAUAAGAUUCUUGGAAAAUGGAACACUGUUAGAAGGAAUCUGGAAUAUGUCUGCUGUGAGUGGAGAGAAAGAACAGGGAAGUCAUUGCCUGGCCUGCAAGCCGUAGAAAAAGAGACAAAAAAAUCUAGAGUCAUACA